UUUAACUCCGCUGUCAGAUGAUCCACAUAUACGGUAUGUGUUAUUUGUUGUUUUUCUUCUGAUCUAUACGCAUACUCUUAUAAUAAACUCCCUAAUCAUCCUCUUGUUUAUCAUUGAUGCCCAGCUCCACACCCCCAUGUACUUCUUUCUUGGAAACCUGGCAUUUUUGGACAUGUCCUUAUCAUCAGUCACAGCACCAAGGAUGCUCUCUGACUUCAU